CCUACGGGGGGCAGCAGUCGCGAAAACUUCACAAUGGGGGCAACCCCGAUGAGGGAAUUCCUAGUGCUAACACAUUUGUGUUAGCUUUUCUUUAGCGUAGAAAACUAGAGGAAUAAGGGCUGGGUAAGACGGGUGCCAGCCGCCGCGGUAAUACCUGCAGCCCAAGUGGUGGUCGAUUUUAUUGAGUCUAAAACGUUCGUAGCCGGUUCGAUAAAUCUUUGGGUAAAUCGGGGGGCUUAACCUUCCGACUUCCGAGGAGACUGUCGAACUUGGGACCGGGAGAGGCUAGAGGUACUUCUGGGGUAGGGGUAAAAUCCUGUAAUCCUAGAAGGACCACCGGUGGCGAAGGCGUCUAGCUAGAACGGAUCCGACGGUGAGGGACGAAGCCCUGGGGCGCAAACGGGAUUAGAUACCCUCGUAGUCC
rnacentral:rRNA from 1 species